GACGAACGCUGGCGGCGUGCUUAACACAUGCAAGUCGAACGGAAAGGCCCUGCUUUUGUGGGGUGCUCGAGUGGCGAACGGGUGAGUAACACGUGAGUAACCUGCCCUUGACUUUGGGAUAACUUCAGGAAACUGGGGCUACUACCGGAUAGGAGCUCCUGCUGCAUGGUGGGGGUUGGAAAGUUUCGGCGGAUGGGGAUGGACUCGCGGCUUAUCAGCUUGUUGGUGGGGUAGUGGCUUACCAAGGCUUUGACGGGUAGCCGGCCUGAGAGGGUGACCGGCCACAUUGGGACUGAGAUACGGCCCAGACUCCUACGGGAGGCAGCAGUGGGGAAUAUUGCACAAUGGGCGGAAGCCUGAUGCAGCAACGCCGCGUGCGGGAUGACGGCCUUCGGGUUGUAAACCGCUUUCGCCUGUGACGAAGCGUGAGUGACGGUAAUGGGUAAAGAAGCACCGGCUAACUACGUG
rnacentral:rRNA from 1 species